UACGAAGGGGGGCUAGCGUUGCUCGGAAUCACUGGGCGUAAAGGGUGCGUAGGCGGGUCUUUUAAGUCAGGGGUGAAAUCCUGGAGCUCAACUCCAGAACUGCCUUUGAUACUGAGGAUCUUGAGUUCGGGAGAGGUGAGUGGAACUGCGAGUGUAGAGGUGAAAUUCGUAGAUAUUCGCAAGAACACCAGUGGCGAAGGCGGCUCACUGGCCCGAUACUGACGCUGAGGCAC
rnacentral:rRNA from 1 species